GAUGAACGCUGGCGGCGUGCCUAAUACAUGCAAGUCGAACGAACGGACGAGAACCUUGCUUCUCUGAUGUUGGCGGCGGGCGGGUGAGUACCACGUGUACACCCUACCUAUAAGACUGGGAUAACUACGGGAAACCGGAGCUAAUACCGGCUAAGAUUUUGAACCGCAUGGUUCAAAAGUGAAAGACGGUCUUGCUGUCACUUAUAGAUUGAUCCGCGCUGCAUUAGCUAGUUGGUAAGGUAACGGCUUACCAAGGCAACGAUGCAUAGCCGACCUGAGAGGGUGAUCGGCCACACUGGAACUGAGACACGGUCCAGACUCCUACGGGAGGCAGCAGUAGGGAAUCUUGCGCAAUGGGCGAAAGCCUGACGGAGCAACGCCGCGUGAGUGAUGAAGGUCUUCGGAUCGUAAAACUCUGUUAUUAGGGAAGAACAUAUGUGUAAGUAACUGUGCACAUCUUGACGGUACCUAAUCAGAAAGCCCCGGCUAACUACGUG
rnacentral:rRNA from 1 species